UACGAAGGGUGCAAGCGUUAAUCGGAUUUACUGGGCGUAAAGCGUGUGUAGGUGGCUACCUAAGUCGAUUGUGAAAUCCCUGGGCUCAACCUGGGAAUUGCAGUCGAUACUGGGCAGCUAGAGUUCAGUAGAGGGUGACGGAAUUCCCGGUGUAGCAGUGAAAUGCGUAGAUAUCGGGAGGAACAUCGAUGGCGAAGGCAAUCACCUGGGCCUGGACUGACACUGUGACACGAAAGCGUGGGUAGCAAACAGG
rnacentral:rRNA from 1 species